rnacentral:ncRNA from 1 species
AAAUUCUCUAUGUUGGGGCCCCGAACCCCAACUUGCUUUGUCUGUAGAAUUUUUGUUUGAAAUUCUCUAUGUUGGGGCCCCGAACCCCAACUUGCUUUGUCUGUAGAAUUUCUGUUUGAAAUUUUCUAUGUUGGGGCCCUGAACCCAAACUUGCCUUGUCUGUAGAAUUUUUGUUUGAAAUUCUGGGUUUAGACAAUUGUUGAAAUAACUUGAUAGAAGUAUGUUUUUAA